AAGAUACUCCCUCCGUUCCGAAUUACUCGUCGCAGAAAUGGAUGUAUCUAGAUUAUUUUAGUUCUAGAUACAUCCAUUUCUAUGCGGAGUAAUUUAGAACGAAGGGAGUACAUC
rfam:Triticum urartu cultivar G1812 contig960751, whole genome shotgun sequence.